GACAAACGCUGGCGGCGUGCUUAACACAUGCAAGUCGAACGGUACUCCUUAGGGAGUAUAGUGGCGGACGGGUGAGUAACACGUAGUCAACCUACCCUGAAGUGGGGAAUAACCCCUCGAAAGAGGAGCUAAUACCGCAUACGCUCUCUGGUGAUAGCCAAAGAGGAAACUUUCUUCGUGACAGAGGAGAGACUUUAGGAUGGGACUGCGGCGGAUUAGCUAGAUGGUGGGGAACGGCCUACCAUGGCGACGAUCCGUAGCUGGUCUGAGAGGACGACCAGCCACACUGGGACUGAGACACGGCCCAGACUCCUACGGGAGGCAGCAGUGAGGAAUAUUCCACAAAUGGGCGCAAGCCUGAUGGAGCGACGCCGCGUGGGGGAAGAAGCC
rnacentral:rRNA from 1 species